GAAAUGCGAUAAGUAGUGUGAAUUGCAGAAUUCAGUGAAUCAUCGAAUCUUUGAACGCACAUUGCGCCCUUUGGUAUUCCUUAGGGCAUGCCUGUUCGAGCGUCAUCUAAACCUUCAAGCCCUGCUUGGUGUUGGGUGCCUGUCCCGCCUCCGCGCGCGGACUCACCUCAAAUCCAUUGGCGGCCCCCGCGUCGGCCACGAGCGCAGCAGAAACGCGAACUCGUGAGCCCGUCCGGGCGGCUCCCAGAAGCUACACCCACUCAGUUUGACCUCGGAUCAGGUAGGGAUACCCGCUGAACUUAAGC
rnacentral:misc_RNA from 1 species